GAAAAACUUAACCAAGGUGUGACGCCGACGCCGACGCCGACGCCGGGGCGAGUAGGAUAGCUCCCCUUUUCAUAGAAAAGUCGAGCUAAAAAUUCUCAUUUUAAAUCACUUUCACCUGUGCGUUGCCAAAACGUGACCUUGUUUUAUCUGGGGGAUUCCGUCCUUGCGCGCAUGCGCAAACAUACUUACACGUGAGGCAUGUUAAAGGGUUUUCCACUAAUACCACCUGUUUACAGAUAAGAAGGCAAUGUGAUGAAAACUUGUUUAAUUAUCAGAAUUUUGACCAAUAUUACUAUAUAAAAUAAUUUUAUGGCUUUGAUGCGUAAAAUAUCAUGCAUACAAGCAUGCCAUCGCAUGUGAAUGCUUUGGGGGUAACGGUACCGGGUAAUAGAUACACGCGUUUAGUCUACUUUCUGUUUCCUGAAUUACAUCUAUUUAUCUCUUAGAAAAUGGUCUGUUCAACAAUUAUAAAUGAAAAAUAGGUCCGAUAUAAUAAAAUUGUAUAAUUAUAAUGGGUUAAAUUUUAUGUACGGGAACUACUUCUCUUCAUACAAAAUAAUGGAUAAUUUCUGUACCCCAUAUGAGGCCUCAUAACUAAGGGUUAUUCUAUGUUUAGAACAUGAUGGAAUUUCCAUGAUUUGUGUGACGAGCCGAAUAUUGAUGUGUAACAUUCAAAUUUUGGUGAGUGAGCGUAAUAAAAAAUAAUGUUUAAGUAACUACGAUUUUUGUACGGGAACUGCUCGCAUGCCAGUACUAGAUAA